rnacentral:rRNA from 1 species
ACGCUCGACACCUACGAGAGGCAGCAGUAGGGAAUCUUCCACAAUGGACGCAAGUCUGAUGGAGCAACGCCGCGUGAGUGAAGAAGGUCUUCGGAUCGUAAAACUCUGUUGUUAGAGAAGAACACGAGUGAGAGUAACUGUUCAUUCGAUGACGGUAUCUAACCAGCAAGUCACGGCUAACUACGUGACAGCAGCCGCGGUAAUCUGAGCGGGCUGGCAAGGC